rnacentral:rRNA from 1 species
CCUACGGGUGGCAGCAGUGGGGAAUAUUGGACAAUGGGCGAAAGCCUGAUCCAGCCAUGCCGCGUGUGUGAAGAAGGCCUUCGGGUUGUAAAGCACUUUCAGUGGGGAAGAAAGCCUUGGGGCUAAUACCCUCGAGGAAGGACAUCACCCACAGAAGAAGCACCGGCUAACUCCGUGCCAGCAGCCGCGGUAAUACGGAGGGUGCGAGCGUUAAUCGGAAUUACUGGGCGUAAAGCGCGCGUAGGCGGUCUGAUAAGCCGGUUGUGAAAGCCCCGGGCUCAACCUGGGAACGGCAUCCGGAACUGUCAGGCUAGAGUGCAGGAGAGGAAGGUAGAAUUCCCGGUGUAGCGGUGAAAUGCGUAGAGAUCUGGAGGAAUACCAGUGGCGAAGGCGGCCUUCUGGACUGACACUGACGCUGAGGUGCGAAAGCGUGGGUAGCAAACAGGAUUAGAUACCCUUGUAGUC